rnacentral:rRNA from 1 species
UGGGGAAUAUUGCACAAUGGGCGCAAGCCUGAUGCAGCCAUGCCGCGUGUGUGAAGAAGGCCUUCGGGUUGUAAAGCACUUUCAGCGGGGAGGAAGGCGAUAAGGUUAAUAACCUUGUCGAUUGACGUUACCCGCAGAAGAAGCACCGGCUAACUCCGUGCCAGCAGCCGCGGUAAUACGGAGGGUGCAAGCGUUAAUCGGAAUUACUGGGCGUAAAGCGCACGCAGGCGGUUUGUUAAGUCAGAUGUGAAAUCCCCGGGCUCAACCUGGGAACUGCAGCUGAUACUGGCAAGCUUGAGUCUCGUAGAGGGGGGUAGAAUUCCAGGUGUAGCGGUGAAAUGCGUAGAGAUCUGGAGGAAUACCGGUGGCGAAGGAGGCCCCCUGGACGAAGACUGACGCUGAGGUGCGAAAGCGUGGGGAGCAAACAGG